UACAGGGGGUGCAAACGUUGUUCGGAAUCAUUGGGCGUAAAGCGCACGUAGGCGGUUCGUUAUGUCGGAUGUGAAAGCCCCUGGCUUAACCGAGGAAGUGCAUCCGAAACUGGCGAGCUAGAGUACUAAAGAGGAUCGCGGAAUUCCCGGUGUAGAGGUGAAAUUCGUAGAUAUCGGGAGGAACACCGGUGGCGAAGGCGGCGAUCUGGGUAGAUACUGACGCUGAGGUGCGAAAGCGUGGGGAGCAAACAGG
rnacentral:rRNA from 1 species